CACAUCCAGAGCCAGUUUGACGUUCAUCAGCUCUUGGUACUCCCGUAACUGCCGGUUGACAUCCAACUUUGCCUUUUGCAGGGCUUCCUGUACUUCGGCUAGCUUUGCAUUGGCAUCCUGGACAGAGGGCACUAUGUAACAAGUACCUUACUCCUCGAAAGCGCUUGUGCCUCUUCCCGACUCCGCGCUGCAAUGCUCUCAUACCGUUCCUUCACCUCCUGUACCACGCUCUCCAGGUUUAAUGGACAGACAUUGGACAUGUUCAAAAGCACAGAAAUAUCCCCAGACUCUUCCAUUGCAUCUUUUAAUUCCUUUAAAAACAGGCACUAAGUACAGAUCUGCAAACAGUAUCCUUCUGUGCUUCGGCACGCUGAGACAAGUAUACAUAGCUAUUUCACAAAUGCUCUAGACAUUUUCAGAAGCAGAGCUGAGGUGUAGGAUUGAUGUCAUACUUCUAUGUAAA